UGUUUAUGAUCGUGUUUAUGACGUCGAAUAUCGACGUCAUAAACACCAAAGUUGAUCGUGUUUAUGACGUCGAAUAUCGACGUCAUAAACAUCCAAA
rnacentral:miRNA from 1 species